rnacentral:rRNA from 1 species
GACGAACGCUGGCGGCGUGCCUAAUACAUGCAAGUAGAACGCUGAAGAGAGGAGCUUGCUCUUCUUGGAUGAGUUGCGAACGGGUGAGUAACGCGUAGGUAACCUGCCUUGUAGCGGGGGAUAACUAUUUGAAACGAUAGCUAAUACCGCAUAACAAUGGCUGACACAUGUCAUUUAUUUGAAAGGGGCAAUUGUUCCACUACAAGAUGGACCUGCGUUGUAUUAGCUAGUAGGUGAGGUAAUGGCUCACCUAGGCGACGAUACAUAGCCGACCUGAGAGGGUGAUCGGCCACACUGGGACUGAGACACGGCCCAGACUCCUACGGGAGGCAGCAGUAGGGAAUCUUCGGCAAUGGGGGCAACCCUGACCGAGCAACGCCGCGUGAGUGAAGAAGGGUUUCGGAUCGUAAAGCUCUGUUGUAAGUCAAGAACGGGUGUGAGAGUGGAAAGUUCACACUGUGACGGUAGCUGACCAGAAAGGGACGGCUAACUACGUG